rnacentral:tRNA from 1 species
GAAGAGGUAGCUCAGUGGUGAAGAGCACUGUCUAUAAUUCAAGACAAGACAACCUGGGUUCAAUUCCCAGCAUCUACC